UCAGCCCCACUGAACUGAGCAGCAGAGAUGUAGGAGCCAGGAGGCCGCUCGGAUCCGGCGGGCAGCCCAGCUCCCUGGCGAUGGCUGCAAGACUCGCCCCGGCCGCCGAACAGGGCGGUGCCAAGCUCGCCCCGUUCCUCCCUGGGGUUACCACCGUUCACAGACCGGCUUGGGGGUUAUUUACGUUCACUCUCCUGACAGAGCCUGACCCCACACAGCCAAUCAGCGGCCACCCCGCCUAUCUGCCAGCGUCCGCACCAAUCAGGUGGCCUUGCCCCUGGAGGCCUGCCGGCACGUCCAACGCCCAUAGCACAGGCCUUUCCUUCCGGCGCCAAGCGCCUGCUGCUCCGCUGGCCGCGGGAGCCGGGCGAGCCAGUCCUUGUUGCUCCUGGGCCGGAGAGGUCUCCUGGGUUGGGAGGCGCAGGCCUGCCCCCGGAGGAGACGCGGGCGCCCCAGACGCCCGCCCUCCCGCCCGCGCUCGCCCUCCCGCCCGCGCUCGUCCUCCCAUCCGCCUGUUCCUCGGCGCGGGCUCCUGGCCGAGGAAACCGAAGCUCCAGUCAGCGGAGCAGCCGAGAUGGGGCGGGCGGGGUGUCGCCGGCCUGCGGGGCGUGUAGGGGAGCUGUGACGCUGGCGUGGGCGAGCGGACCGCUUCUUCCGUGAUAAGGAGUUGUCGGCUGAACCCAAGGGACAGAGCAGACUGUUUGAGAAAGAUGCUCCGAGCCGAGGGACCAGACUUGGUCUGGAAGGUCAGAUGGGGGCUUUGUCGCUACUGAGCUGAGGCCCCGUGGGAGCGGGCCCCCACCUCGAAGACCGCCUUGCUGGGAGCACUUUCGCUUUGGCGCAGAAUCAGCAGUGGCCACCGGGAUUGGAUCUUGAGAUGGUGGAGGAGAGCAGUCAGGACGCCUAAGUGUUAGCCCAGAGGACCGCAAGGAGGGCACCUGCACCAACCCGGGCGACCCGGUGGAAAGGAGCAGAGUUUGAAAAGUGCCACCCCAGGGACCCCGCCCUGGUGAUCUUGUCGAACCCUAGUGACCUCCCAGAGGCUCCACCUUCAAAUACCAUCAGUGCACAAAUUUGAGGACUAGAUUUCUAACAACUGAAGUUUGGAUGACGCAUUCGAACUAUGACAGAGGCUAAAACAACUUAAGUAGUGAUCGAGGGAAAGACACAAACAGAAGCCCUUGGAGACGGGCAGACGGGGCAAGAGCUUAAAAAAAAUCUGGAAAGGAAACUGAGGAAGCAGAAAGGCAAAGACUUGACAAAUGAGAGGAACAAGAGGAUGAGCCAGAGGAUCAGAUGCGGGAGCAGCCACGGAGUGAGAUGCAGGCUGUGAGGGAAAAGACAGAGAGGGAGCGGAGGGAGGAGACGAAGACAAAAGCUGCGCCCGGCACCUCUGCCGGUCCUUUCCAGGGACACAGCUUCCUGCACACCCUGAAACGUGGGCAACAUGUCAUCCCUUUGUGGAAGAAACAGAAAAACAGAACACAUCCCUGGAACACAGCUCCCGAAUCAGGCAUGACGUCCUUCAAUAAAGGAAUGCGUAUUUCAGUGGCCUGAGCAGAAAGACGGGUUUAUUAGAUGAAGUUUGAAGAACUCUGACAGGAAAGAACAAAAAGGAGGUUAGUCAUCUCAUCUGUGAGGAGGGGAGAGAACCGGAGAAAGUGGCUGCUUCGUUAACAUCAGGAAACUUCAGGUUGCCUUUUCAUGCGCAGACUGAGGCCAGAGGGACAGCAUUAAUGUGGCAAUUGAAACUGGCCUGCUUGGAAAAUUUGACUGCUACCUCUCGAAUCCUGGCAGACAGCUGAGCUUCAGCAUGGUGAGAAACUAACGCAAGUGACUCCGCUUUGAUUUUUCGUCUGGUCUCUUGGAACCUGGUGCAGGAGCUCAGUCCACAACAAUGCCCUCCUGUGGUUUCUCCUACAACACACAGUAAGUCCCCGACUUACUUACGAACGAGUUCCAUUUCGGGAGAAUGUUCGUAAGUCACAUUGGUUCAUAAGUCCAACAAAGUGUGUCUUACACACCUUUGACAGAUACACAGCGUGUGUUGCUCUGAGCUUCCUAGCAGUCCCCUCCGCAUCACUGCUGCUUUUCCUCUUGCUGCCGGACGCCCUGGGCUCCGGCUGGGCACUGGACUGCUGUGCACUGUCACACUGUACAUCAGCGCACAGCAGCACAACUGUUACACUGUCCGGCAGACCCAUGAGCUACUUCGAUUUGUUCGAUUUGUUUGUACGAAGGUUUGUAAUGUGAGGUCUGUUUGCAUCUGUGAAAGUUUGGAGACUUACCGUACAUGGUGGAGUCAAUCGAGCCCAAUGCUUCCGAGAUGUCAAACAAUGGAGGAAAAGGACAAAGAGUCACACUACAGUGGCGGGCCAGAGCCAGACUGACUGGAGUUACCCUCUGCCAAGCUGCCUUGCUUUGGAGCCAGCUGAUUAUGGACUGAAACUUCUACAAACUAGGACUGAUGCAAAGGAAGUUUAUUGUUGUGUGGGACCUCUCAUUUGAAGGCACCAAGAAGAAAUUCCAAAACUAGCAUUUGGACAUGAUGAGAGGAGAUUAAGAGGUUCAUAAAACUGAGAACAAGUGGGGCUGGGAAUUUAGCUCAGUGGUUCCACUGACUGCCUUGUAGGCACAAGGUCCCAAGUUCAAUCCCCAGAACCAAGAAAAAAAAAUUGAAAACAAAUGCAAAGUACAGUGGAACUUGUGGUUCUACUUAUAACCACUGUGCCUGACCCACUGAGCUAGACACUGCCUCAGUAGGUCUCUAUUUUUUAUUCCCCACUAUCAAAGUGA
ensembl:lncRNA